AAUGAUUUAGCGUUCAAUCAGAUGUCAUGCUUGAAAUUUCUUCAAUUUGCCGUAUAUAUCAAUCAAAUCGACAAACCACACACUGACAUCUUCAUCCCAUCUGAAUUCCGAUCAAUUAUUUGGGAAGCAUCAAGGAACACCGACAAUUAAUGAAAGAGACACAGACAUGAAAUUUUGAUCUCAUAAAUCUUCACCAAUUUAUUCGUCGACUAUAAAGUUGUCAGUGUCACUCAUGACAAGAUUUUUCGGAUGACUUCGGCAUGUAUUGCAAAGAAGGGAGAUUCCUGCUGAGAAGAAUGCAUCACUUUGGAUUUAACAUAAUUAAUCAUCCAGAGGAAUGGAAUAGUUUUUGAAAUGCAUGGAUCAAAUUUCAAAACUAUAGGAAAUUCAUCAACUGAUUUCUGUUGUCAGUCUCAAGAAAACCUCUGGACGAACCAUUUUACGGUAAUUGCCAAAGAGGUGCCAGAAGGUUGGUGUUGCUGCCUCGAUUACUAUAAUUCAAGAUUAAAAUUUACUAAAUUAUUCAUCGGAGCUUAUUAUAUUUAUUACCGAAAACCUGUCUGUAGCCCAUCACUUAUUAAC